CGCCGGGGCGAAGGGGCCGGACCGGCACCGGGGCGGGACAUUCCCGCCUCCCGCCGCCCUCCUGCCGCCCUCCCGCCGCCUUCCCGCAGCCCCUCGCUCCGGGGAAGCGCCGAGGGACGGCCCCCUGCCCGCCCCGCCCCCGGCCGUGCCCGGCCGCCGCUCGCCGCCGCCGCCGCCGCGGGGGAAAGGCCGCUGCGCGCCCAACUUCACUUCAAGCAACUUCCCCGGUGCGGCGGAGCCGGCGCCCGGUUUUGCGGAGGGAGCAGCCGGUGGUUUGGCUGGGUGAGGUCUGGGCAGUGUCUCUGUAGUGAUCACAUUUCCUGUCCUUAAUGUGCCCUUGGUGACCAAGUUCUUGUCACUAUGAGAAAGGAUUCAGGCCCUAUGGAUUGGUUGCAGCAGCAAAUUAUGAUUCUUUUUCCUUGCUGGAGUUUUUCAGUUCUGUUGAAUGUGUAAUUCCAACUAUGGCAACAAGAGUAGAAAUAAAUUCUACUUUGGCGUCUUUGACGGCAGUCCCUGACCUAGCUGAGCUCAGGGCUGAGGAGAAGGCACAGCGUGUGUAUGUCAGUGUGCUUUCAGAUGCCAGCAACAAGGCAAAGGAGACCUCAGCAUCACUGACUCUGGAAGAAAACAAGAAAUUCGGGAAUUCCUUGAGAUCUGCAACAAUGCCCUCACUGGGAUCAAGGCCGAGACUUUUCCCAAAGCCUUUUUGUAAAGAGAAAUCCUCGGAUACUUUUGCAAACGUCAAACCGCCCGUCCCAGCCUUCAGAUCCAGCAGCAUGGUGAGAAAGGCCACUGAGGAAAUGUCCUCUGUGAAGGUGUUGAGUGGGAAUGUCCCUCCCUUAGUGGAUCAGAAAGCCAUUGCCACCGAAAAUCAGGCUGACAGUGACUUGGUGACAAACGUGACUUUCUACACGGGGCCCAGUGCCAACACGGUCAUUCUGUUCGAGCCAGGGGGCCCCGAGCAGGCCAAGGUCAGCCUGGCCCAGGAGAAAAGGGCUCAGGAGCGCAGGGCAUUCACUGCUCUGCAAAGCAAGGACCUCCAGGGCUCUGUGAAACCAGCAGAGACCCCCAGGAAUCCUGACGGGUCUCUCCAUAGGCAUUUGUCGUUUUCUUCCAGUCUCAGACCAGAAUCCUGGAACUCCCUCAAAACCGGUGAAAAGAAAGAUGCUCGUGAAGUUCGUCCAGGGGAGAAAAACAAUGGUGAUGCAAAUAAUCUCAACAAUAAAGUUGAUUUCUCUGUUGAUGUCCAGCAAAGGGCAAAACAUAGACCAGUGUCUGCCAUUUUUCUGGAAUCGUUGCGUGAUCAAAAGCAUCACACUGUGGAAGCUUCUGAGGAAAAAUCUACGGAGAAAUCUGGGGUUAGAAAACCGAGGCCUUUAUCCAUGGACCUGACAGCUAAAUUUGAACAUAAAGAUCUUUCUUCUUGCAAGAAGGCUGGUUCAUCCCAUGAAAGCAAGGAGAAUGUAUCCAUAAUUGCUUUUACUGAUGGGGGUAGUCAUGAUCAGUCUGAAACGGGGCCAAAACAAGAAGAAAUUGAAUUUAAUAAAAGCAGUUCCUCUAAAACAAAUCUGAAAUGCAGUAGUCAGGACAUUGGCAUCUUAAAUAAUGGGAAAUACACCUGGGAAACUAAACUUAAAUCUAAAAGUGAACAAACUGAGACAAAACCAGAAAUAAUUAUUAACUUGCAUGGUCCUGAAAGAAGCCCUGAAACAACCAGUGAAAGCAGAACUAAUAAGGGGGGGAAAAGACCAGAUCAGAAGGAAACGUACACGCUCCUGGGCUGUGAAAGUCCUGCAGCUUCCUCAGAAAAAGAGAGUAAUAUCUUAAGAGGUAGUGUUAAAAAACACAUUAGUUUGUUUACUUCAGAAAAUCCCAGUGCCACAGUGGAUGCAGAGCUUCUCCCAGCAGCUGCUGAGAAGGAAAACAGGUGUGUGACCAUCCAGCAGAGGAUCAAGGAGCUGACAACAGAAAAUCCUGAUGUUAAGGGAGGAAAUCUGCGCCGGUCACUGCAGUCACGGCCACUCUCUGCAGACUUAACCAAGAUGUUUUCAAGUCCAACAUCAGGGGAUGAGGCCAAGCCUGAGAAACCUGGGGAGGCUGGAGCUGACUCGAGCCACGACCUGCAGGAAAAUCCAAAAAGCAAGGAGCUGAAGCUCACCCAUGGCACAGAUGUCACCGAGGCAUUUGCUCCUGGGAAGCCUUGGAAAUCCCGGCAGGUUUUAAAGAUAACCAAUAAACCUGAUCCUCUGGAGAGGAAAGGAAGCUUCCUGGGAGAUGGUCAGCAUUUCUCACAGCAGAGUGAGAGUUCUGUCUCAUUCACAAGCAACUUUGAAAAGAAAUUAAACCCAGCUCUUCUGGAAAAGCCCUUCAUUAAAACUGUCCGGGCCACCCUGUUUGAGCACAAUGUGCAGAAGCACAACGUUGUUGCUGAGCAUUCUGGGGCUGAUCCUGCACCAAAAAAGAACCAGGAGCCUGAGGCAAAGCAGGACCUGGUGGCUUCAGGGCACAGCAGACGCUCGUGGAUGGGAGAAGGGGAGGAAAGCACCACUGCAAAGGAGCAUCACAAGCAGCCUGAUCCAUCAAAGCAUCCAGCACUUGUCGAGAAAAGUGCAAAACCAGCUUGUUCAAGUGAAGACAAGAAAAUGAGUCCGGGAAUCGUCUUAGAAAAAUCUUUGGUUGAGAAAAGUGAAAAACCCGCUCCCAAAAAUGCAGAAGAUUCUCAAAUUUACCAAAGAAUAGAGCCCAGGUAUGAAAUCUUUCAGACAUGUGGUGAAAGGGCUCUUAGUGAAGCCAUCACAAUGGCUCCUGAGAAAAAGGCCAUGACACUCAGAACUAGAAAAUCAUCUGUGAAAGAGAAUAAAACUGAUGAGGACGUUGUGCCUAUAGGGCAGUCUGUUAAGGCAAGUAGUCACACUCUUUACUUGAAAGAAGAUAAUGUUACUUCAGAAGCUAGAGAGGCAAAAGUUCUCACAAGUAAGGCUGUGUUGAGAGAACCUGCCAGUUUUCUCUCCAGUGAAUGCACUUUACCUGAACAGAAAAGAGACUCUGAUAAAACUGAUCCUGAGCCACUGUUCAUAGCUGAGAAAAUACCUUAUUCCACAAACAAAAGUAAAGGUUUGGGAAUGAGUGAAAAAGUCAGCAAGCUACAUGCUGAAAUUAAAGGUGAUAAGAGUGAAGUCUCUUCUGUAGAGAAAUCAGAGAGGAUUAAUGUUGUGAAAUGUUCUUCUGAGAAAAGGAGUUUCAGAGCAGGUGGGACAGACAUCCAUGAAUUCCGAACCAACUUGGAUCGUGAAGUGAUUUCCACCAGUGUCAAUAAACACGGGGCUCAGGCUUCAGUGCUUGCAAGUGGGCAAUAUUUUAAAUCUUCCAGUAGCCACCCCCCUGAUACAAAAGGACUGAAUGUUACUAAAGAGGAAUCUGGGGCCUUUGGGUUGAGGAAAAGUCUGGACUUAAAUUGCAAAGAGCAAGAGUUUAGCUUGGCUUGUACAGCUCCUGAAAACAACGAGAAACUCCGAGGAGCAGAUCCAGAAGAGAAAGUCAGGAGAAGCAGAAGUAGUGUUUCUGACUUGAAGAUUUCUGAAAGGUGGAGGAGGAGGACCUUGCCUCAGGAGUCACUCAAGGUGGAAGAAGUUGUGUGGCUCACUCCCGAAAAUAUCAAGAAGCUGAGCCGGACAGAUUCAUUGCAAUUGAAUGAAAACUUACUUAAAAAGAGAAACAAAAAUAUCAAAGAUGGAGUGGAAGGGAGUGAGGCUAACCAGGCUGUUCUUGGCAGUCCUGAUGAUUACAUGAAACAUCAGAGUUCUGUCUUUGAGCCAAAGGCAACUUAUUUUGCAGUGACUUAUCAGAUUCCUGGUAUCAAAAAAGAGAAAAGCUUUGUUGGUGCUCCCAGUGCAAGUGAAAUUAAUACGGUUUCUAGUUCAAGUGAGGCAGCAGCAAUUAAUCUGGACCCUGUUUUUCCUGGAAGGUCCAAACCUUUAUUGCAGCAACCAAAUAAAAAUGUGACAAGUUCAACUUGCAGAGAAGACUCCUGGGAAGUGCGUAUUAGCAAGGAUUGGGUCAAAGAAGUUGAAAAAGAUGCCAUUUUCUCCAAAAAUGUUGCAUUUGGUAAUUUUCAUGCAUCUAGGAAAGAUAACCAACAGCAUCAUGAAAAGGGUCUGGAUCAUUCUAAAGAGAAAAUUAUAGAUGUUGAUGCUUUCUUGUUAAAACAUGAUCCAGAAAAUACAGCUCAAGCUGAUCUCAAGAGUGGCAGAAGGAAAAUCUCCUCUUACCAUGAACCCUGGUCCCCGCCGCGUUCCGCGCAGGUGUGUAAGGACGGUGAGCUGGGCCCCCAGAAAAGGAGUGACAAUAAUUCUGAUCUGCCUGGAAGGAAAGCUGAGGAUGGGUACAGAUCCCAAAUUCUCGAUAUUGAUGCACUUAUGGCAGAAUAUAAAGAAGAAUCAGCAAAGGCCAGUAAAGUUCAGGAGAAGCUCUCUGAAGAUCUCGGCUCACUGAGUAGGGAGAAAUCAAAGAACAAAAGAAAUGUGUCAGAUAGAAUGACUCUUACCUACAGCUGGAACGAGUGGAAGAGUGGAUCAGACCACUAUUCAGUUAAUAACAAACCAGGUGAACGUGCAGAAGAGCAGCACAGGCCAGAGAAACUAAUCCUAAAUGAAAAGAGCAAAGAGAAACUGGAAUUACGGAGCCCUGAAUUUGAUAAGCAGAAGUCCAAAGACAGAAAGGUCAGCCCUCCAUACUGGGGAAACCCCAGCAGCAUUUUUCCAGAGAAGUUGGUAAAUUCACCUGUGGAGUUUGCUAGGAAGAAAACUUUCAUUGUUGAUGAGGACGAGGAAGUGAACUUGACCUCCAGAAAUCAGGGUGCAAAAUUUGUAAUUGAAAAGGUACAGCCCAUAAAUGCAGUGAGUACAGAGCAGAGGCUGGAAGUCAAUCUGGCCUCCAAGCUGUCCCUAAAGGCUGAUGAUGGGCUCUUGCAGAAGAAGUUGGUGACAAAAGAACAGUUCUUGGAGGUGUCUCCAGAGGGCGAUUGGAGCAAAAACAUAGUGAGGAGCUCUACACUGAGAAGCAAAGACAGCUCAAAUAAAAUGUGUGAGGGUGACUCUUUCAAAAGUAAGAGCGAUUGGAAGGGCUGCAUGUCUGGCUUUGGGACCGUCCCUGCGGAUCUCAGACGAUCCUACUCAGAAAAAUGCCGCCAAGGAAGGGACAGCCUGCCCCUCCUGCAGGAGAUGAGGGCAAGGAAGGACCUGCAUCGAUCCAGGCCAAGCUUCCCCUUGGAAAGUGUGGAUAACUCGUGGAAACACAAGGUGUCAGCUCAGUCAGAACCAUUCUUCCAUGAGGAUAAAAAGGCUCCCAGGAAAGAGUGGAGCAAGCAGAGCUCAGACAAAACAGAGGGAACAGACUUUUCCUCAGUGUCUACACAGAGGAGCCACCACAUUUUCUACAAGGAGAGAAGGGCAGAUUUUGGGAUGGACCAGCUGAGGCAAUGCUUCUCCAGGCAGCCGCCGGGGGCGAAGGACACGGACACGCUGGUGCAGGAGCCCGACAGCCAGUACGGCACCUGGAACGAGCAGCGGCACAGCGGCGACAGCUUUGUGGGAGAAUCUCCUUCCCUGGACAAUGAGGUGGUGCCAGGGCGGAAGCAGCCCGCGGGCAGCCACGCGUCCUCGCUGUCCUCGCAGACAGAGCCACCCUCCCUGCCUGAGCACCAUGACUUCUCCAAAGAGCAAAGGAGCACCAGCCUGGACCGUUCCAGCACAGACAUGGACUCCACUGAUGGCACUGAUCUGCCUCCUCCAGGGGACACACUCCCUGAGGACAAGAGUUAUUUCUCCUUCAUUGAUCACACAGCUGUCCUGGACUCCAGUGCUCUGAAGACUCGGGUGCAGCUGAGCAAGAAGCGGCGGUGCCGGGCGCCCGCGUCGCACUCGCUGCGCAGGAGCAGAGGGCUGGACCUGGAGAACAGGUUUUCCUUGACAGAAGAACCAGAUAACGGCUGGAUGUUCAAAGAUUCCACAGAAGAGAAGAAAACUAUGCAACAGGAAGAUUCUGAGGAGGAAGACAAGAUCCAGCACACUCCGAGGUCAUCUUCUGUGCAAGCCCAGAGACUGCCCGUGUUCCCAGGGAUGGAUCACUCUGUUCUCAAGGCCCAACUGCGGAAAAGACAGGAGUCUGAGAGCACUGGUGACAUCGGCUCUGCUCAGCUCUUCAAAUCCCCCAAAGCACAGCUCGGCACUCCCGGCAGCAGAGUGCUGCCCUCCAGUGUGGAAAAGGAGGACAGGUCAGAAGAAAAGUCUCCUCAGUGGCUGAAGGAGCUGAAAUCAAAGAAGAGACAGAGCCAUUAUGAGAAUCAGGUUUGAAAAGACAAUGAUUCUAACUAGGAGAAGAUAAAGAAGUUUAACAGAAGCCUUAACUCAUCUGAACCUAAACCCCCAUGUCAUGUUGCUGCUGUUUGCUUCCUGCCUCAACUGCUCUGUGCAUGGUGCCUUCCUGUUUUGUGGAGAAAAGCUGCUUCAAUUCAUAGUCAAAUACAAAGCUGUGUCUGUCAGCUCGGGGGGACAGUGGCACUUCAGACCUGCCUGCCAGGAGAACCCCCCUGGGUCAUGGUAGCACUUGAGAAAGUCUUGGAAAACAGAGAUAUCUGGGAGUGCUGUGAUCCAGGGAACUCCCCUCACCGUGGAGCAGACUCUUAAGCUCCUAUUUAGAAUGAAAUUUGUGGAAGGUGAGAGUGGAAGAACAAAUCAUGUUUACUGCCAUAUUGAAAAAGGAAACUUGAUUAUUUUUUGUAAAAUGUAUUUUUGAUUGGCUUGUAUUUACAUGUGAUCUGCUGACCUGGCAGAUGGAGAUAAUUUUUAGAUGAACAAAAUGUUAACUUUUGUCACUCUUGAAGUGGUAUAUUCUGUGUUUUGUCAGCAUGUGGAAUAAUUGCUUCAUUGGAAUGUCUUUCCUAAAAAGGAUCAAGCAAUAAUGUCAACCAGUUCUCUUUAAAAAAAAAAAAAGUAAAAAUAUUGUAAAUACUGUUUUUAUAACAAAAAAGGAAGGGAAGAGGGAGGAUGUUACACUCAUAUCAGGGUUCCAGUUAAUUGUUGAAUGUCACUUUAAUAGCAGUUCAGAUAGUCCCACUUCAUAUUUUUAUUUGUUAAUCUGUAAAUACCAGGUUUAAGUGUUUAUUUUUAUGCCGAUUUUGUGGGAUAACCUAAAUGUGAUCUUCAGUUUCUCAGAUGAUUUCCUGUCUUUCCUUUGGCAAGACGUGCUGAUAGCGGAGUAGAGAUCUCCCGGCCCACACGGGUGUUUGGCUAUCCCCAAUGCUCAGAUAUUCCCUGUCCCUGGACACUCAUUCUGAAACACCAACCACCAUGGCCAUGGAAGACAGACUCGAUUCUUGCCCCAGAUAAGUGCUCUUCCAGUGACCUCUAAACGUGUACUCGCCCAGGGAGGGAGGUGACUCCAAGUGUUCCUCAGGCUCAACCAGGAAAAGGUGGAAGAGGGAAAAGGAGAGUGGAGAGCUCCCCUUACCUGGCAGAGCUCCUUGGGCUGCAUUCCCCACAUCCUGCUGGGUGGCUCCUCUGCAUACAAACCAUAAAGCACCAGCACUUCAGCUCCUUUUCCUUUUUGUCUUUUUUUUUUUUUUCCCCAAUCAGCGUUUUGGGAGCGCGGCUCCCGUGGGGCCUGCCCAGGCCGAUGUCUGUCAGGCUUGGAGCUGCCAAAACCAUGUGCCAAUUCACCUCAUGGAGGAGUCAUGGGGGGGGAUCUGCAGUCCCAGUCUGCAGGAAAUAGCAGCAGGAUGGCAGGAGACAAGUCCCAUCUGCACAUCUCUCGCUCCCGGAUUUUAUUCCGGUGGCAGCUCCCUGUGCUCCCUGGAGAUGAGAUGGAGACAUCUGUCUGAUGUAAAAGUCUUUUUUCCUGUUGCUUUGCCCUGUUUCUCAUGGGAGCUGUUGCCACUGUUAUUUUGGCAGCCCCUCUGCUCCCCACGGAGCAGCGAUCCCCAGGAUUCUGAUGGAAUUUUGGGAUGGGCCGUGUCAGUGCAGCCACCACCAUGGACCAGCUCCUCUUAAAACCUUGCACAGAUUUCCUUCCCUCUCCUUUAGAUGAUGGUGGAAAAGGUGACUCUUGGCGUGUUUUUUGGGAUAUAUUCCUGUGGCAGCACCCAAGGGUUCCAUGGGCGUGUCCCACGUGUGGCACGCACCUGGGCCAGCCCGAGCAGCACGUGCAGGUGAGGAGGAUGAUGGUGGCUGCUCUCACUCACAUCAAGUGGGGCCUCCCACGUCCAGAAAUCAGUCCCUGCUCACAGGAACGUUCACCCAGGCUGCGUUUUCCACUUCCACAGGUGACAGCGUUGUGUUCCCAACAGCUGGAGGAUUUACUGGUUCUUGGUGUAAGCCAGAAAUUCUGUAACUGUUUGUGUUGAGGAAACUGAGGGGAUUGACACGAGGUUUCCACACAGCCCUUGAAUGUGUUUGCAUUUCCACGUCUGCUUGGACAAUGCACUGAAAUUACUGUAUUGAGUAGUUUAACCUACUACUGAGAAAUGUUUAAUGCUUAAAUGUCUAAUUAAAGAGCAUCUUUAGAAUGUUGUUGAA